rnacentral:rRNA from 1 species
GACGAGGGAUCCUAGCGUUGUUCGGAAUCAUUGGGCGUAAAGCGUAUGUAGGUUGCUUUGCAAGUCAGUUGUGAAAUCCCCGGGCUUAACCCGGGAAGUGCUUCUGAUACUGCAUAGCUUGAGUACUGUAGAGGUGAGUGGAAUUCCAGGUGUAGUGGUGAAGUACGUAGAUAUCUGGAGGAACACCGGCGGCGAAGGCGGCUCACUGGACAUGUACUGACACUGAGAUACGAAAGCGUGGGGAGCAAACAGG